ensembl:lncRNA
AUUCCAUCACCGUGACCGUGGACUGCAAGUCGCAUUUAUUCGCCUCCGAAGAAGAAGAAGAAGACUGUCAGCUGAACACGACCACGAUACCUCUAUUAAUUCCGUCAUGCCAAAGACACGAGGAACCAGAAGAUCCGACAAAAGCCAAAACCCUGAUGACCUGCUGCAGUCUGAUAAUGAAGGGUCUCACAAAAGGAUGCUUAAGGAUUCUUCAGACUCUUCGGCAUCUGACUCUGAGACACUCCUCCUCCUCUGAAGGAGGGAAGAGGAAGAGGAAGAAGAAGAAUACGAUCAAGAAAACCUGCAAAGCAUUUGGGAAAAGAGUUCAGAAUCCAGAGGACGUUGUGCACCGGUACCGAGCUGUCCUAAAAGAGUUUAGGCGCACCAGGAGCAUUAGCCUGAGCUGUGAAGCACUGAACGUGGACAGGAACACAAUUGCCUUGACGGCCAUCAUUGCCGAAAUCUUUAUUGGCGCAGAAGGUGAAGACUUCGGACAACUGCCAGUGUUCAUUGAAGGAGACACUGUAGGCAAUUAUGCUAAAACCUGCAAGGCCUUCUUAGAGGGCAACCAACUUCUUGGGGAAAAAAUUAAAAAAAUGAAAAACAACUCGGAGCUGCUCCCCAUGAAUUAUAAAUUCCGAAAGUGAGGGGCCACACCAGGGUUCUGUGUUUUUGUUUCUGUGUU